AUACGUAGGGGACGAGCGUUGUCCGGAAUUACUGGGCGUGAAGGGCGCGCAGGCGGAUAUUUAAGUCAGCUGUAAAAGGCAUGAGCUCAACUCAUGUAUGCGGUUGAAACUGGGUAUCUAGAGUGCUGGAGAGGUAGGCGGAAUUCCCGGUGUAGCGGUGAAAUGCGUAGAUAUCGGGAAGAACACCAGUGGCGAAGGCGGCUUACUGGCCAGCAACUGACUCUGAGGCGCGAAAGCCAGGGGAGCGAACGGGAUUAGAUGCCCCGGUAGUCCUGGCCGUAAACGAUGAAUGCUAGGUGUUGGUGUCGAGAGGCAUCCGUGCCGGAGUUAACGCGAUAAGCAUUCCGCCUGGGGAGUACGAUCGCAAGAUUGAAACUUAAAGGAAUUGACGGGG
rnacentral:rRNA from 1 species